rnacentral:rRNA from 1 species
UAGAAAUAAAUUUAAUUUAGUCUUGGUAUUUACUUUUUUCUUCUUUAAUAAAUUAUUUGUCAAGUUAAAAAUGAUAAGGGAUAAGCUUUAUUUUUUUUCUAUAAUUUUAUUUUUUUUGAAUGUAGUAGGAAUAAAAUCACCCAUCUUUUUAUUACGUUAUAGUAUAAUUCAAUUAUAUUUGAUUUUCUUUAAUUUAGAUAUUUAUUAAAAUAUAUUAAUUAAUUUUUUAUUUAUAUUAAUUAUGAUUGAAUUAGUAUAUAAUUUUGUUUUCAAUUUAUUUUGCGUGAUAUAUAAAUGAGGAACUCGGCAAAUAUUAUGUUCGCCUGUUUAUCAAAAACAUGUCCUUUCGUUUUUUUUGAAAGGUCUGGCCUGCCCAGUGAAUUAAAUUUAACGGCCGCGGUAUAUUGACCGUGCAAAGGUAGCAUAAUCAUUAGUCUUUUAAUUGAAGGC